UCAAUCUGAUCUCCUCCAAUUUAAUUCUGGACCCCUUUGAGUAAUACCUUAAGAUGUAAGAAUCUACGAAUGACCUUAUAAAAAAUCCUUCAAAAUUCUCUAGAUCAAAUUCUUUCUCAACCUUCACCAUAGACACGAUCGAUGAAGAUCAAUUCAAACCAGUAGAAUUUCUAUAAUGGCAUCCUCGGUCGACCAUUCUUGGAGGUUCUAAAUGUCAUGGACCCCUCAUCCACUUAAAGAUAAAAAAC
rnacentral:lncRNA from 1 species